rnacentral:tRNA from 1 species
GAGGGUAUAGCUCAGUGGUAGAGUGUGUGCUUAGCACGCACAACGCCCUGGGUUCCAUUCCCAGUACCUUCA